AUUAGGGGUUAACUAAGAAGUCCAUGACAGAGGCAGAAUCGAGUUUCCCUUUUCCCCUCACUGUCUGUUAGAAUUAGAAAGUGUCUAUGAGCAGUGUGUGUCAAGGAUAUGAACAUGAGAUGUCAUUUCUCCUGCCUCUAAUUGAAGCCAAGAUAAAUGAAGUGGAAAGGCGGCGUCCAAUCCAAUCAAAACAUGAAAAAGAAGACUAGAGCAGGAUUCCUCAGGGCUUGCUCAAGCUGUGGAAGUCCACCAGAGGAGGAAUCCCACCCCAGAUGGAGAGGAUCCUGCCCCUGGAGUAAGGGACUGCCACUGUGAGGGGAGAGACGACUGCAGGGAGGAGGAGAAUUUAGAUUAGAGUACAACAGCUUGGAACUUGGGACAACCUCAGGGCAGCUGCACUCCUUCCACGUUGUUAUACUACCAUCUACUGAUAAAAGGAUGCUAUUUCUCUGGGAUUUUACCUCCUGUCCUCAUCACCUUGGUGCAACAAGCAGUAGCUCAACUCCAUCAGAGCUCAAAAAUGAGCAUUUAACUGCUGCUCCAAGCCUCAGCACCUGAACACUCUUUUCUGCAACAUGAACAGGCUCACGGGGGCAUCAGCUGCACUUCAGACCCCUUGGAGGAAAGAAGGUUUUGGGGGAUUUGUAUUUGUUACUCCCUUUGUUUCUUUCAAGGGAAGAAAGCUAAGGGAUGGGAAACAAUCAUCAAAAGCCAUUUGGCAACUUGAAGAAAGAAGGCUGGGUUGGUCUUAUGCUAAAGUGAGGAAACAUUAAAUUGCUACUUUAAAGAAGCUUGAAAGUGGACUACAUUAAAAAAAAAAAAGAGAGAGAAAAAGAAAAGUCAACAAUAACAAGUUUAGUCCUAUAAAAUAUUCAUUCCCCCCAUUAUUAAAGCAGGAAAGGCAGCAGAUUGGCUUUUUGCAGCAUCCUCACACCUCUCUUGGGAACUCCUGGUGCUUCCAGGGAGCUGUCCCCAGUCAGCAUCCAGCACUCACCUGGGAUUACUGUUCUGUUUGACUUAGGAAUGGAGAACAGAGAGAAGAGCUGAGGACUCUUUGCAGGGUCUCCAGAUGAAACAAUUGGAAGUGCCAGUUAAUUUCCCAUCCUUUACCCUUCUCAGCUAUACCCAAAAUAGGAAGAGUGGCAGGCACCUUUUAGUGUAAUCAGUGCACCACAGAGAUUUGGGGCUAAUUAGAUGUUAGUAAUUAAGAAAAGACUGCUGUGAUGGAUGUUUUUACAGGUUGCAUUGUUGAUUCAAGGAAUAAGCCUGUUCACCUUUAAGCAUUGUCAGUCACAUUUCUUUAGCUGGGAAGAAUGAAAUGUCAAUUUUAUCCUGCUUCAUCACUGCUCUUUAAUCAAUGUCGAUGCAUCACUUCCCACUAUCAUUCCUCCAUCAAACACUGACCUGGAAAUCUGACACUGAGCUUUUCAACACCAGCUCAGCUAAUUAAGAACUUUGUUAUUCCACCUUCCAUCUUUUAAAGAAAAGUAAGAAAAGUGCCAAAGAACCUUUUGCUUUCAUGUGGAAAAGCAUCAGCAGGGGGUUAAUAAUAAUUAUUAAAAUGACUGACAGCUGGGGCUAUGCUGUGAUUUGGCCCAGCCCCGUGGUCCUGUAGACACAGAAAGGUAAAAGCUAAGAAUAGUCAGGCCUUGAAUUACAACAGUGAAUAAAUGGGGUUUUAGGAAAGAAAAGAGCUUCCUACCCUGAGACUAGAGGAGCGAGAAAGGUGCUGAUGUUUAUUUUUGCAUCUGACCCUUUCAGCAGGGCAGCCAAACCCUCCCCACAUCACUGAGAAGCAGGAGGAGCACUCUGAGCCUUCCCCCAGCAGCCCAGCACAGACCCUGUGGGCCACCAGCAAGGAAUUAAAAAGCAGGGCUGAGCCGCAUCCAAAUGGGUUUACUGGAUUUUCCUGCACGCAAGCAGAGGAGAGUGUUUAAUACAUGCACUGCACAUUGUGGGAGCCCUAAGCACAGAUUAAGAUCUCAGUGUUCUGGGGCCUGCACAACACAUCAGCCCCAGUCCCACAGAUCUCACAGCCUGAGCAUGAGAAAUAGAAAAAAAGCUGGGAAAACAGAAAAAAGCAAUUCAGAGAUUUUGAUCGGUCCCAUGUCACUGUCACUGUCCUUCACAGGCUUUUAGGGUUUAGAUAUUACAAAAACAGCUCCUUUUGAAGAUACUUCCCACCUUUCCCUGAGCCCAGGGGGAGCUCAUAAGGCCAGAUACUGCAAAAGCAUUUGCUAGAAAACUUGGCUGUAGAAAAUCAAUUAGUUGUGGCCUGUCAGAAGUGGGCAUAGAUUUGUCAAUACUGAGCAAGAGUGAUAAGCAGGAUGGAUAUGGACUGUGAAGGCUCUUCAAUAUAGAGAUGGUCAGGACUAGCAAUGAGGACUUGGGAGGCAGAAGCAGGUCAAAGCUCCUUGGACAUGGAACCCAGCAACAAGGCAAAUCUGGGCAGGAAAUCUGUUUGUUCCUGCUUCUAAAAGAGAAAUAUUAGGUGCAUUUUCUGAGCAUAAGCAAGAAGAACAAUCAAGGCAUCAAUUUGGCUGAUAUCUGUGUUUUGUUAAUCAACUGCAAACAGUAUCAGGAAGUUCAAAUUUGGCUGAUCUGACUCCUUAGAGGUGGGGGAACAAAAACACUUGGCACAAACCAUUGCUUAUAUUAUCUCACCCAGAAGACCUGCAGACCUAACAACUCAAGCAGACUCUAAAGGCUUUCACAGGAUUGCUUGUGUGAGAAAGACCUUCUUUUUGCACAAAAAAUAAAGAUUCAGAACUCCAAAUAUAUUUUAAGGGCCAGAUUUCUGGUAAAAGAUGAAGAAAAGACACAGGUGGCAAUCUUUAUCACCCUUUUCCAGGCUAGCAUUUUCUUUGAGAAUUUUUUUAGGGAAAAAAGGAUUGCUAGGGAGCAAGCCAUGCCUCUUUAAAAGUUCACCACCCCUCUCAGUGUCCUCUCCUACCUCUAAGGCAGGUGUGUGCAGCAGCUCCAUCCUGACCCAGCCCUCAUCCUAAAUUUUCAAUUCAAGUGGGACUCCAGGCAGUUCUGGCUCUGGAGGCCCUCAGUUCCCAAAACCAAAUGGUGAGCUCCCUCUCAGCUCUGUCUAAAAUCCACAAAAUGACACUGCACCUGCAGGGAAGUGCAGUUCCCUCAAGUUUUGAAGUUCUUCAUUUUUUCCAGUCCAUGAGGAGGACAGCUCAGAGAGAAAACACCCAGGGGAGGCACAGAGUGCCUGAUCACGUCCUGGCACUGCCGCACACACUUUUUCUGCUGGUCAAUCACAACCUCUCAGAGUUCAGCCUCUCAUCUGGCAAAGGCAGGCUCCUCAAGGUAUAGAUUUUGUCAAUAUCUGUGGAAAGCAGUGUUAGAGGAUCUACAGAGGCACCUCAGUAGCACUGAGGUGGUGCCUCCAGUCCCACCCCGUGGAUCGCGCUUUUCCUCGCAACCUCAAUUCUGCAAAGCGUGAGAGCACAAACUGACAGUGGGGCUGGUUUGAACAUGGCUAGCAGAACCAGGGCUGGUACAUCCAUCAGAGACACAUCCAAACACACAGCUGACAAAAUAAAUAUCUUCUUAGUGCUCCUAUUAUCAUCCAGUGUUUUGGGGCCGGCUCAUAAAGGCGCUUAUGUGCAACAAUGCCUAAGCAAACUGAGCUGAUUUAAGAGGGCUGAGGGAACACUUAGCUGAGAAUUUCCUGCCUUCAGUUAGAUGCAGUCAGAGAGUUAAGAUUAUAUUUCAGUGUCAGUAUGUUGUUUUUAUUUGCUUUAUUAAAUUUGCUUUAACUUGCAUUGACAUUUUCUUCCCCUUGUUACUCAAUCUCUCAGCUGUAAAGAUUCUGUUUUG